rnacentral:misc_RNA from 1 species
CUAUACAUCUAUCUGUUUUGUUAUGAAUGAGUAUAGUAUCAUUUGUUCUCUCUUAAACCUCCUGUUAUCGGUACGAAAGCAGCUAAAAUAACAGAUACCUUAGACAGUAGAAAUCCGAUCGUUCCAAGCAUGAGAUCUUGAGGUGUCAGCACUCUAGCAACGUCUCCGAGAGCAUAUUUUGCUGCAACGGUUGUAACUGCAAGAGCUAAUACUAUGUUCAACACUGAGCCUUUGAAUCCUUUAUCGGUUUGAUCGAGAGUUUCUGUUCUGUUACUUUGAGUCAGUUCUGAAGAUGGUAUACCGUCAACAGAUCUCUGCACGAGUAGUAGAUAGAGGAAUCCUACGAUACCACCUGUUAAGAAGGCGAUUGCAGACUUAUCUCCGGCUAAGAAUGCAAUAGACGAGCCAGCAAUAGUAAGGAUUGCAUCGUAGACCAAUAAAGAUAACUUCAAAUCUGUGUAUUCCUUCAUUGUGUCUUCGUUUGAUAUGUUCUGUGUACUAACGGAAGAUGAUGGCGAGGUUUUCUCACUUAAUGAUAUAAUGUUGUCCUCGGAAAACUCAGUAACCGAACAUGGUCUAAACUCUAUCAUGGAACUAUCGCUUUUCUCACCGAGCAAGACAUCCUCGAUAUCAAAGUCAUACUGGAUGGCAGUACAGUCUGAUAAAUUCUUCUCAUUUCCUAUUAAUACGGAAUUUAGAAGGGAAAUGACAGUUACGUUCAUGCCUCCGAGUCUCCACUGACCUGAUUCUGGACUGAUCCAAACAGCUGCAAGUUUUCCAAGUUUAGGUCCUUCAAAUAUGAACUCAUCUACGGAACCUCUUCGGAAUUGGAGAAGAUCAGAAUCCUGUGACUGCAUAAAACGAGCGUUCUCUAGACCAGCCGAUAUCCUCUGUAAGAUUGAGUCACCAUUUUCAUCUAUCAAACAAAGCAGGACUUCAGAGUUUAUAUCGGUAAGAUCUGAUCCAUAUGCAUUACUCGUUUGCAGCUUGACUUGGUAAAGCGAAUUGGAUCUAUCAAAUUUCGAAUGAUUGAGCAAUGUUUCCAGCGACCAAUCUCCACAGAAUUUUACGUUAGUGGCUGGUAAAAGGCGGGAAGGUUUUACAUAGUCCCGAAAAUCUUGAAAGUCUGAUUUUUUGAAGUGAAUUUUCCAAGAAGAGCUACAAAUCCUUCUUAUAGGAAUUGGGUUUAUUGAAUUACUCUUUGGAACAGAAAUUUGAGUUGUAAAUAUCAAAUUUUUGAUGAAUAAUGACUCCAUUUUUAGCUAAAUUUCUCUUCAAAAAAAUUCAUUUUUUCUUGAAUUUGAG